AUUGAACGCUGGCGGCAUGCCUUACACAUGCAAGUCGAACGGCAGCACGGGUGCUUGCACCUGGUGGCGAGUGGCGAACGGGUGAGUAAUACAUCGGAACGUACCUUAUCGUGGGGGAUAACGCAGCGAAAGCUGUGCUAAUACCGCAUACGCCCUGAGGGGGAAAGCGGGGGAUCGCAAGACCUCGCGCGAUUAGAGCGGCCGAUGCCGGAUUAGCUUGUUGGUGGGGUAAAAGCCCACCAAGGCGACGAUCAGUAGCUGGUCUGAGAGGACGAUCAGCCACACUGGGACUGAGAAACGGCCCAGACUCCUACGGGAGGCAGCAGUGGGGAAUUUUGGACAAUGGGGGCAUCCCUGAUCCAGCAAUGCCGCGUGAGUGAAGAAGGCCUUCGGGUUGUAAAGCUCUUUUGUCAGGGAAGAAACACCGGCUCUAACACAGUCCGGGAAUGACGGUACCUGAAGAAUAAGCACCGGCUAACUACGUGCCAGCCGCCGCGGUAA
rnacentral:rRNA from 1 species